CGUAUCACUUAAAGCGAUUCAGCGGGUUACGAUUGACGGAGCGAAGCGACGUCAAAGCGUAUACAAAGUCGAGUCGGUUUAAGGAUACGUUCGUUGGGUAGGGGAGCGUUCUGUAAGCCUGUGAAGGUGGCCUGUGAGGGUUGCUGGAGGUAUCAGAAGUGCGAAUGCUGACAUAAGUAACGAUAAAGCGGGUGAAAAGCCCGCUCGCCGGAAGACCAAGGGUUCCUGUCCAACGUUAAUCGGGGCAGGGUGAGUCGACCCCUAAGGCGAGGCCGAAAGGCGUAGUCGAUGGGAAACGGGUUAAUAUUCCCGUACUUGGUGUUACUGCGAAGGGGGGACGGAGAAGGCUAUGUUGGCCGGGCGACGGUUGUCCCGGUUUAAGCGUGUAGGUGUGUGUUCCAGGUAAAUCCGGUUCACUUUAACACUGAGGCGUGAUGACGAGGCACUACGGUGCUGAAGCAACAAAUGCCCUGCUUCCAGGAAAAGCCUCUAAGCAUCAGGUAACAC
rnacentral:rRNA from 1 species